rnacentral:rRNA from 1 species
AUGGAGUAUUCAGAUAUAGUAAAGUAUCAUGGAGUUCCUCAAGAUGUUAUCAAGUGCAUGCUGUUCACAUUCUCUCUCCGAGAUGAUGCUCGUGCUUGGUAUCGAUCCUUGCCAUCAAGAUCAUUCAGUUCGAAUGAGAUAUCACGAGCUUUCUUGGAUAAAUAUUUCCCACUACACAAGCAGUCCACAAUUCAAGAUGAGAUCUUCAGCUUCGUUCAGCGUGAAGGCGAGAGCUUGUAUGAUGCUUGGGAGAGGUACAAAGCCUUAUUCAGGAGAUGUCCUAACCACGGGCUCGAGAGAUGGUUAGAGCUGCAGCUAUUCUAUAGAGGAUUGGCUUCGGACACUCGAUCUUACGUUGAUAUGACAGCGGGUGGAGCUAUUACAAACAAGACACUUGAUGAUGCUUUUCUGCUGAUUGAGAACAUAGCCUUCCACCAACUUCAGUGGUACAAUGAGAAGCCCACCUCUAGCCCAGUUGCUUGCUUGCAACAAAUCACUUCAUCUCAGCAAGAAUCUCUUACAAAAAAGCCGGAACCAGUUUCUCUGUGUGACAAGAUUGAGCUUUCAUGGAUUAUCUUUGAUGAUGAUGACACCAUCCUAGUUGACACACACACUUCAGAUCAUAUGGAUACUAGCAUUCUAGAUUCAGUUUUGCAUUGUGAUGAUUCUUGUGUGGAUGAACCAGAGCUACAGUUAGUUACUUUUGAUAUUGAGGAGAUACCUUUAGUUGAUAUUGAUCAUGUGCUGCUAGAGCCAGAUAUGGAAAAGUUCACCUUUGAUGAUGUUAGCCACAUCGAUUCUUCAACGCUUGAGCCUGAGAUGGAAAUCUUCAUUGUUGAUUAUGAUGAGGUCACUUCAGAUGUCAAGGAGCAAAGCCCUACUAUUUCACCUGUCGAUACGAGCCCGGUGGAAGUUUCUACUACCAUGCCUUCCAUGGUAUAUUCAGUUGAGGUAGUCGCUUGUGCACCAUUUACUGCGAGUUGA